rnacentral:lncRNA from 1 species
GAUAAGCAAGAAGACCUGGGUCAGAAGAGCCAGCAUGACUCAUGCACAGCUGUCACCAGGGACAGUAAGAGAAGUAAGAACACUUGACCAGUAAGAAGAGUGAGGAUUAGAUUUUGCACAGUUGCCAGAAUGCAAAAUCGAGAUGAUGGAUAUGAAAUGCAAACGGGCAAAGUUAGGCAUGUUCCUUCUUUAUCCUCAAGGACGCUGAGCCAGAG